rnacentral:lncRNA from 1 species
GAGAACCCUGAUGCAGUGAACGCAGGCGCAGGCUCUGGAGUGAGAAAUUUCUCACUCUGUCGCCCAGUCUGGAGUGCAAUGGUGUGAUCACGGUCACUGCAACCUCUGCCUCCCGGGUUCAAGCGAUUCUCCUGCCUCAGCCUCCCAAGUAGCUGGGAUUACAGGGGCCAGCGAAAGACACGCGCUCGACUUAGCAAGAUAGGGGCUAGACAAACCACGGUGAGGAAAACGGCACCUACAAGUCUUCCCAGACAGCUGUCUGCAGUUGAAAUUGAACGGCUUGCAGUAAACUUCUUGGAGGAGAAUUGGCAUUGCAAGGGUGUUACUGGAGACCUCGGCAAGAAAGUGAAUGCAAAGACAGAUGACCCAGGAACCCGUGAUGGAUAAGGCUCUUGACAGCCAGGACGUGGAAUUACAGGGGGUCUCUUUGAGAGACAAAAUAAAAAAAAUAGCCCAGUAAUCUUCCUUCCACCCUUUUCUCCCAGAUCUAAUUACAGAUGUCUUGACAUUCCUUCUGCAUAGAAUUUCCUUAAAAGAUUUGCCAAGAAGAAACAUUUGGAAACUGUGUUUUAGGUAUAAUCCGUCUGGGAGUCACUCUUGCUCGCUUUGUCGUUAGAUGACAAAACGCUUAAUUACAGCGAGCACAAUGUAUACCACAUUUGGAAAACUGGAUUCUUGACCUAAAUAAUGUACCCCAUACUGACAAUGGCCUUUUGGCAAAACUUGUGUCUCUGAUCUCACAUUAAUUACUACACAAAUAUACUUAUUGUGGGCACCGAGUUUAUGGGAUGGAGUCCUCUUGACACAUGUUCACCAUAAAAACACAUUUUUUUCCCUUCCCCUGACCCUAAGGAAAAGAAAAAAAAAAAGAUUAACAUUUUUCAAGAUGCUGUUUUAGUGACAUGAAAACUGUCUGUUGAGUGUUCACUCGGCUUUUGUUCUUUUUCUUUUCUCCUUUUAUUAAAAAGCCUUUCAAA